ACUCUGACCAGCCAUGCCGCGUGCAGGAAGACGGCCCUAUGGGUUGUAAACUGCUUUUAUACAGGAAGAAACACUCCCUCGUGAGGGAGCUUGACGGUACUGUAAGAAUAAGCACCGGCUAACUCCGUGCCAGCAGCCGCGGUAAUACGGAGGGUGCAAGCGUUAUCCGGAAUCAUUGGGUUUAAAGGGUCCGCAGGCGGUCAAUUAAGUCAGAGGUGAAAUCCCAUAGCUUAACUAUGGAACUGCCUUUGAUACUGGUUGACUUGAGUUAUACGGAAGUAGAUAGAAUGUGUAGUGUAGCGGUGAAAUGCAUAGAGAUUACACAGAAUACCGU
rnacentral:rRNA from 1 species